CAUUCAAGUCCGUACUUCGGGAGGGUGGUAUUUCCUAUCGUCGAAUUCAAAAAUCUCGCGAUUGCUUGAAGAGACAGAUUUCAAUUUUCUAAACUCGAUUCAGCAAUGUUUCCAUCCACUGUGUCCUGACAAGAAGCCAGUACAAGAACCAUGAAGGGGGGUACAUAUACAACACAAAUGAAGAGUGUAAUACGAGGGCAUGAGGUUCCCUUCAGCUCAGCUUCCUACACGGUCUUAUCCCAAAUAUGUAAUGCCCGGAAUUCCUACUUGACGCCUCACAUUUUAAAGGUAAAUUGUCCUGUGAUCCCAACAGUUUUCUGAUGAUCUACUCGUGGAAUUGGUCGUGGGUUUGCUCGUUUGGUGGAAUUUUUACGGCAGAAGGCGUUGCCAUAGACAAAACCCUUCGGGAUUCUCCAUCAAAGUUCUCUCUUGGUUACUGUUUCUAUAACUACACUCAGUGCACGUAUUGGACAUGAAUGCUCACAUAUCUUUCAGGCAUCAUUUGCCGGGUGUAAGCUAUUACGGAGGCUCUUGGUAUGUAUUGAAGAAUUUAUACGGCCGUAUCUAACAAAAGGGUAGUUUUUGGGUUGUA